GAAAUGCGAUAAGUAAUGUGAAUUGCAGAAUUCCGUGAAUCAUCGAAUCUUUGAACGCACAUUGCGCCCCCUGGCAUUCCGGGGGGCAUGCCUGUCCGAGCGUCAUUUCUGCCCUCAAGCACGGCUUGUGUGUUGGGUGUGGUCCCCCCGGGGACCUGCCCGAAAGGCAGCGGCGACGUCCGUCUGGUCCUCGAGCGUAUGGGGCUCUGUCACUCGCUCGGGAAGGACCUGCGGGGGUUGGUCACCACCAUAUUUCACCACGGUUGACCUCGGAUCAGGUAGGAUUUACCCGCUGAACUUAAGC
rnacentral:misc_RNA from 1 species